GAAGACGACCACAGGGAUUACCUCAGUAACGGCGAGUGAAGCGGUAACAGCUCAAAUUUGAAAUCUGGCUCUUUUAGGGUCCGAGUUGUAAUUUGUAGAAGAUGCUUUGGGUGUGGCCCCGGUCUAAGUUUCUUGGAACAGGACGUCAUAGAGGGUGAGAAUCCCGUAUGUGACUGGGUGCUUUCGUCCGUGUAAAGCUUCUUUCGACGAGUCGAGUUGUUUGGGAAUGCAGCUCAAAAUGGGUGGUAAAUUUCAUCUAAAGCUAAAUAUUGGCCAGAGACCGAUAGCGCACAAGUAGAGUGAUCGAAAGAUGAAAAGCACUUUGGAAAGAGAGUUAAACAGUACGUGAAAUUGUUGAAAGGGAAGCGCUUGCAACCAGACUCGCACGCCGCUGAUCAUCCGGGGUUCUCCCCGGUGCACUCGGUGGUUUUCGGGCCAGCAUCAGUUUGGGUGGUGGGAUAAAGGCCUUGGGAAUGUAGCUUCUUUCGGGGAGUGUUAUAGCCCUCGGUGCAAUGCCACCUACCUGGACUGAGGACCGCGCUUCGGCUAGGAUGCUGGCGUAAUGGUUGUAAGCGACCCGUCUUGAAACACGGACCAAGGAGUCUAACAUCUAUGCGAGUAUUUGGGUGUCAAACCCAUAUGCGUAAUGAAAGUGAACGGAGGUAAGAACCCUUAAGGGUGCAUUAUCGACCGAUCCUGAUGUCUUCGGAUGGAUUUGAGUAAGAGCAUAGCUGUUGGGACCCGAAAGAUGGUGAACUAUGCCUAAAUAGGGUGAAGCCAGAGGAAACUCUGGUGGAGGCUCGCAGCGGUUCUGACGUGCAAAUCGAUCGUCAAAUUUGGGUAUAGGGGCGAAAGACUAAUCGAACCAU
rnacentral:rRNA from 1 species